rnacentral:rRNA from 1 species
AGGGCACCACCAGGAGUGGAGCCUGCGGCUUAAUUUGACUCAACACGGGAAAACUCACCCGGCCCGGACACUGGAAGGAUUGACAGAUUGAGAGCUCUUUCUUGAUUCAGUGGGUGGUGGUGCAUGGCCGUUCUUAGUUGGUGGAGUGAUUUGUCUGGUUAAUUCCGAUAACGAACGAGACUCUAGCCUACUAAAUAGAUCGUCGGCUUACAAACGCCGGCGAGACUUCUUAGAGGGACAGGCGGUGAUUCAACCGCACGAAACAGAGCAAUAACAGGUCUGUGAUGCCCUUAGAUGUCCGGGGCCGCACGCGCGCUACACUGAAGUGAUCAGCGUGCUUUUUCAACCUACUCUGUCAAGAGUGGGGAACCCAAUGAACCUUCUUCGUGAUUGGGAUAGGGGAUUGUAAUUAUUCCCCUUGAACGAGGAAUUCCCAGUAAGCGCGAGUCAUAAGCUCGCGUUGAUUACGUCCCUGUCCUUUGUACACACCGCCCGUCGCUACUACCGAUUGAAUGUUUU